rnacentral:rRNA from 1 species
UACGUAGGGACCGAGCGUUGUCCGGAAUCAUUGGGCGUAAAGAGCGUGUAGGCGGCUAUUUAAGUCCUGCGUGAAAUCCUGCGGCUCAACCGCAGACGGUCGUGGGAAACUGGAUGGCUAGAGUGCGGGAGAGGAGAGUGGAAUUCCCGGUGUAGCGGUGAAAUGCGCAGAUAUCGGGAAGACACCCGUGGCGAAGGCGGCUCUCUGGAACGCAACUGACGCUGAGACGCGAAAGCGUGGGGAGCAA